CCUCGCUUUGCAGGAUCAGGCUAGGAGAAAGAUUCAUCCCCAAAUUAAAGACUGGACAAGGAAACAAAAGGGAGUGGGAAGAAAAUCAGUAAUAAUCAUUGAUAACUUUGAGCAGCAACAGAAGAAGAAGAAGAACCACCCUCCAGCCCCGCAACCCCAAUGCAUUUCUGCAAAUAUGGACCUUGGGAGCAAUCCAGAAACUUCCUCUUCUGGAAAUUAAUACAAGCGGGAAACAGCGCGCAAGAGAUGAUCAUCAAAGACGCCGAUCCACAAACGACUGUGGGUGUUUGUCCAGACGAUUAGCAGCCGGAUCUACAGCUCAGUUACCACAGGGAACGUUAGGGGUUAAGCCCACAUUGCUCCCUGGAGUGAUCGAGACUGUGGCUGCAGAUCUCAACCCACUUACUCGAAAGUAGGCCCACUAGCGGCACUCCAGAGGAAAUCGUUCGAGAAUCAUGGCCUAAAUCAGUUUAAAAUAAAAACUUCGCGUUAGCUA